AGUUUACACUUUUGUUUUGGGUGAAAAAGAGUAUUAUCAAAAGCAAUUUGCAACAUUGAAGUCUUUUGAGGAAACUCUAAAAUUGAAGUGAACUCUGUUUGUAUCGACGAUGUCCAGAUGACAUCGAUUAACGAGUGGUAAUCAUCGAAUUGCAAUGUGUUGUUGAAGUUCGACGAGCCUUCCGAGAGCACUUGCGAAAUCUCCAAAUUGGUCUUCUUUGUCGCCCUUCUUCUCAGGUACAUGGAGUUAGUUAAAAACUAUGGUUUGGAGAUUUCUCAGAUUGGAAUUGAACCUAAUAAUGGAUUAACAUGGAAAAUGACAACAAGAAAAGUGGCUAGCUGGAGGGUAAAAGAGACCGAAAGGAUGAUUUCCAUUUGCACAGAACUAAGAAAGGUACAAGUUAAUAAAAUAAAAAGGAUUUAUGUACCAUUUAUUUGUUUAAUGCUGAAAAGAUUGUUUUGUCCAUGGAACUUUUUAGUUGGGAGCAACAGAGGAAGAAGGACCUGAUUAUUGUAUAAUCACUCCACCAGAGAUAUUAAAUGUGACAGCGAUUGAUACAUAUGAUGAUCAUAGAAUGGCCAUGGCUUUGUCACUUGUAUCAUGUGCUCCUCAGUCAUGAUCAUUGAAGGAAAUCCAGUAUCAAUAGAUGCUGAGAGAAGUCAACCUAGUUUUGGUACUAGUUGUACAAGCAACAACACAACUUGCUCAUCAGUCAUGGAGCGUGACAAUGGCCCAAAGAAGGUUUAGUUUGCUUUUCUUACAAGAUUCUGAUGCUUAAGGUAAAAAAGAAAAUAUGAGUGAGGUGUUUGUAAUGUGAUGUACCACACAAAAGCAUAGUUACUGCAUAAUCUAGUUUUCAUCACCAAAUUAUCUUAAUUCUAUCAUCAAUAGACCACAACAAAAUGUAGUUUUCGUCUCUAGUUUUGAUCAAUAAACUAUCAUACAAUGUAUGCUUAUUUUCUACAUAAAGUCAUAUGACAUUUAACCAUUUGGUUGACAAAA